rnacentral:rRNA from 1 species
UACGGAGGGUGCAAGCGUUAAUCGGAAUUACUGGGCGUAAAGCGUGCGCAGGCGGUUUUGCAAGACAGAUGUGAAAUCCCCGGGCUCAACCUGGGAACUGCAUUUGUGACUGCAAGGCUAGAAUCUGGCAGAGGGGGGUAGAAUUCCACGUGUAGCAGUGAAAUGCGUAGAUAUGUGGAGGAAUACCGAUGGCGAAGGCAGCCCCCUGGGCUAAGAUUGACGCUCAUGCACGAAAGCGUGGGGAGCAAACAGG